GAGCUGGGAGGAAGCACAGCCAGGGCAGCUGACCCGAACCGGCCAAAGGGAUAUUCCACAGCAUGUAACGCGCUGUUAAGGAGCCCGGGAGCCGCUGUCGGUGAGGCGCAGCUCAGGCUUCCAGGGGCUCCGCCUCUCCCGGGAAAGGCUCGGGAAGAGCUGGCGGGUCGGGCAGCCAGCCCCCUCUCCUGGGCAGCCCGGCGUGCUGCACCUCCUGCUCCCGCCAGCGCAUCCCAGGAGGCAGAGAUGGAUUUCGGCGGUGUCGGCGCUGCUCCGGAACAUCCUCUCCGUACGCGGAGACACCGCUGUGUUCGUGGUACGAAGCGACCGUGACAGGCAUCAACCUGUGGCCCAGCACAGAGAUAAACACUGACUUACAAGAAAAAGCGGCCUCUCCCAUCAAGCAAAAAGAUAUCCUGGAAAGGAUGGAAGUCAGAGAUUCAUUUAUGCAGAAGCUGGAUGCUGGAGGUAUUGAUUGUAAGAAAUCGACGCUAAACCAAGACCAACUUUGGGAAUACAGAGAAAGGUGUUUAGGAGACAUUUGGCAGAUGCCUAAACAACUCAGCAAAGCUCUUCAGAGGGAAGGUUGUCUACUAAAUUUUUCACUCUGAAAAAGCUGCUGUUUACUUUGGACUGAUUUACUGUGAUGCACUUCAUUUACACCUGAUGCUUUUCCUGAAGUGGAAGACAGCACAGGAUUCAGGUUGGAGUUUGGUCUGGAGGCUACCAGACCCCAUGCCGGACAUCUG